rnacentral:rRNA from 1 species
CUACGGGGGGCUGCAGUGAGGAAUAUUGCACAAUGGGGGGAACCCUGAUGCAGCAACGCCGCGUGGAGGAUGACACAUUUCGGUGUGUAAACUCCUUUUAUAUGUCAAGAAAAUGACGGUAGCAUAUGAAUAAGCACCGGCUAACUCCGUGCCAGCAGGCCGCGGUAAUACGGAGGGUGCAAGCGUUACUCGGAAUCACUGGGCGUAAAGGACGCGUAGGCGGGUUGGAAAGUCAGGUGUGAAAUCCUACAGCUUAACUGUAGAACUGCACUUGAAACUUCUAAUCUAGAGUAUGGGAGGGGGAGAUGGAAUUAGUGGUGUAGGGGUAAAAUCCGUAGAUAUCACUAGGAAUACCUAAAGCGAAGGCGAUCUCCUGGAACAUUACUGACCCUAAGGCGUGAAAGCGUGGGGAGCAAACAGGAUUAGAUACCCUUGUAGUC